rnacentral:lncRNA from 1 species
UCUGACUUUACCUAAGAUUAUAGCAAAGCACUAAUAAGUUGAAGAACAAUCAGCAGUUAACUUAGACUUUCACACCACAAAAGCAGAGUAAGAAUGAGAGGACUCCACCCCAGCUACCCACACAAGAACCGGGCCAGGGUAAAAUCAAACUCUGUUGUGGCCUGAGACACAGGGUUUGAUUUUUACCCUGGCCAAGUUCUUGUGUGGGUAUCUGGGGUGGAGCUACCCACACAAUAGGAACAACAUUGAGAGGAAGCCCAAAGAUUUUUCAGGGAGAAGCAUUCUUCAACUUGUUACCCAUUUUUCCUAAACAGAAAGUGUCUUCAGUCUCAUGCUUUUGCUUAUCCCUGUGGUAUUUACACCAAUCAGACCAUGAAGAGAUGAUGCUGUGGUGGCAGCACAAAAAAACUGUGUUGGAGUUUUGAAGCAUUGAUAGCAUUUCCUUCAAGUUGUCACUAAAAUAUAAUUUGAAGAAAAUAAGGUAGACCUGUAAAAACCAGAAUAUGCUUUUCUUUUAGUGUCUUUCUAUACAAACAGAAAUAUACCCAAGUUCCUCUGGAACUCACGAGAUAUCUUCAUGAUUGAGCCAGAGGGCUGCUGUGUUUAGAAAACAUAACCCUAGACACAGUGAUCAUUGAUUUAAAUGUAACUUCUAAACUCUCAAGCAAAAACUUGAAAAAGGUCACACAUCUGGACCAUUGUCCAGCACCCACUUUAUAAAAUACCUUCCCCUGUACCUUGAGGUGUACAAAAUCUGUGACUUAGUUUGCAUUUUAUAAACAAUAGUUUUACUUAUUAUUAACAUAGACAGAAAAGACAUUUGGGCACCAUGUAUAAAGUUCUAUGAAUCUUUAAGAACGAUUGGAACCUGUUAAAGAAUACUUUUCUCAGAACAUAUCUUACUUCUUAAAGUUAAAACUAGUUAGAUGAUAACGUGUAUUUAAUUCAGCUCAACAGUGAGGUCAAAAACAGGAAGAGGUCUUUAAGAACAGCGGUAAUGUAAUGGCAACACAUGAUAAAAAUUAAUGUAACAGAAUGGAAAGUUUUUUCUAAUAAGAAGCAUCUAUAUGAUAAAAAUAUGCACAAUUAAAAUGUUUUGAGGGCUUAAAAAUCCAUGGCCUUUACUCUUUAAUAUUUUUAUUAAUCUAAUAAAUAAAAUCAGUUAAACAAUCAAAUAGUAGUAAAAGGUUAUGACAAAACCCAGCAAUUCCCUUUCCAUUUCUAUUCACCUCAGCCCUGCUGCCCAAAAGCAACAACUUUUAAAUCUUUUUGAUCUGUCUAUUUACCUCUGUAUUUCUAAGUUUAAUCUCUUAUCUGUUCUAUUAUAUAUUCAUUAGAAGCCUGCCUAUCUGUGGUCUCUUUACUUAUUUUUUCUCUUUCUCUUAUAUUUUCCUCAAAUAUCUGAUGACCCUGGCUAUCUAUUAUUCUUUCUAAUGUUUUCUCAUUGAUUCAAGUAAUUUUGUUUGCUCUUAUUUUUAUUAUAAGUUCUAGGGUACAUGUGCACAACGUGCAGGUUUAUUACAUAGGUAUACAUGCGCCGUGUUGGUUUUGCUGCACCCAUCAACUUAUAAUUUACAUUAGGUAUUUCUCCUAAUGCUAUCCCUCCCCCAGCCCACUACCUCCCAACAGGCCCCGGUGCGUGACGUUCCCCUCCCUGUGUCCAGGUGUUCUCAUUGUUCAACUCCCACCUAUGAGUGAGAACAUGCAGUGUUUGGUUUUCUGUCCUUGUGAUGUUUUGCUGAGAAUGAUGGUUUCCAGCUUCAUCCAUGUCCCUGUAAAGGACAUGAACUCAUUCUUUUUUAUGGCUGCAUAGUAUUCCAUGGUGUGUAUGUGCCACAUUUUCUUUAUCCAUUCUAUCAUUGAGGGACAUUUGGGUUGGUUCCAAGUCUUUGCUAUUGUGAAUAGUGCCACAAUAAACAUACAUGUGCAUGUGUCUUUAUAGUAGCAUGAUUUAUAAUCCUUUGGGUAUAUACCCAGUAAUGAGAUUGCUGGGUCAAAUGGUAUUUCUAGUUCUAGAUCCUUGAGGAAUCGCCACACUGUCUUCCACAAUGGUUGAACUAAUUUACACUCCCACCAACAGUGUAAAAGCAUUCCUAUUUCUCCACAUCCUCUCCAGCAUCUAUUGUUUCCUGACUUUUUAAUGAUUGCCAUUCUAACUGGCGUGAGAUGGUAUCUCAUUAUGGUUUUGAUUUGCAAUUCUCUGAUGACCAGUGAUGAUGAGCAUGUUUUCAUAUGUCUGUUGGCUGCAUAAGUGUCUUCUUUUGAGAAGUGUCUGUUCAUAUCCUUUGCCCACUUUUUGAUGGGGUUGUUUUCUUCUUGUAAAUUUUUUUAAGUUCUUUGUAAAUUCUACUUUGUAAAGUAGGGGCAAAGAAAAGAGUUAAUCAUUUUGUAGUGAAAAUGUCAAAGCCUACAGCAGUAUUUUUUUUUUCUCUAGAACUAUUCAUUAUUUAUUUGGAAAAAAAAAAAAGCCCUUGAAUCUCCUGCCCAGCUGGAGACCAAGUUCCCAUAAAGAAACGGGGCAGCCGAUGGGCUAGAGCCCUCAGUCAGUAGCUCACUUGCUCACUUUCAAGAAACCCCUUAUUUUCAGCCCCGGUCGAUUAUCUGCCUUUGAAAGGUUUAAAUAACAGGGGGAGAUGCUUAAGGCAUAAAAAAGAAAACAGUGAGUAUUCAAAAUUAUAUAUGCAAUAUGAUUUAACUACAUUAAAAUAUGCAUAAAAUACCUAGAAAGAAAUAUACCAAAAUUUUGAGUAUUUAUGGUGACUUCUGAGUGGUGGAAUCAAAUGUAAUUAUAUCCUUAAUACCAUUGUUUAUUUUCCAAGAUUUCCACAAAGCAUACACACUAAUUUAAAUACGUGGGAAAAAUACUUGAUUUUUAAAGAAACAUGUAUCAGGAUGCCAACAAGAAAACCCACAGAAGUGAAUGUUAGUAUCAGAGUAAGAGUUUUUCUGAUCAUAGCUUAAAAGAUUUUAAUUAAAUACUUGAUAUACACAUUAAUAUUUAUAAAAUAUGAGGAUACUAAGAAAUAUCCUAUUAAUAUAUUGAAAUGUUGAAAUGGCCACUUGUAUAUCAGAAUCCAGCUGUAGAACACUACUAAGAACUUUGAAGCCAUCUGUGAAUCCUGCCUCAGUUCCAUUCUCCAUUCACCUGAAUUUGGUAUUUGUCAUUAGCUUUUCAUUAGUUUUAUCACUUAUGUGUAUCUUUAAAUAGCCUAUGGCCUAGCUUUGCAUCUUUUGAAUUUUGUACAAAUGGAACCACAUUGCAUGUAUUGUUCUGCAGGUUAUUUUAUCUUCACUCAAUGUCUGUGAUAUUCAUCCAUAUUAAUUUUCCCAGUUCUAUAAUUUAUAUACACAUAACAUGAGUCUAGGGCAUUUCAUUUUAUUAAUAUACCAGAAUUUAUUUAUCUAUUCUUCCAUUUAUUAAACUUGGGUUGCUUCUAGAUUUUAUCAUUACAAUUUUACCUCUUCUUUUCUAAUCUUUGUAUUUCUAAUUCUUUCUCUUGUCUAAACUUAUUAGCUUAGCAUCUCUAAUACAAUAUUGAAUAAUAGUAGUGAUACUGAAGAUCCUUAUCUUGUUUCUGCCUGCUAAUUUCUCUUUUUCCUUUUCUUCAGUUUGCUUGGUUGUCUUGUAAAAUUUCUUGAUUGAGAAAUAGUUUAUUUUCAUUUUUCCUUCUUUAUCAAUAUAAAUAUUUAAGGCUUUAAGAAAACGCUGUGGCCGGGCGCGGUGGCUCACGCCUGUAAUCCCAGCACUUUGGGAGGCCGAGGCGGGCGGAUCACGAGGUCACGAGUUCGAGAUCAGCCUGGCCAACAUAGUAAAACUCUG